UUGUGCUUAUUGUGCUACCUUUUCCCCCUUGUGCUUUAUUUUCUUUUACAUUGAGGACGAUGUAAUUGCUAAGUGUGGGGUGAAAACAAAAAAAUCGGUAA